AAUAAUAUUAGCCAUAUUUUUAUCAUGCUGAUUAAAAUUCCCGUUUGUCCUCCAACUAAGCGUAAAGCUUGUGUUAGGA